CUCCUGUCAGUCAUUCAGUAUCUUUGUCACGGGGGGCGCGCACAGGCACACGUAGGCGCGCACAGGCACACAGACAGACUUUUGGAUACAGUGCUGCAAGUGAGUGAAAAGCAAGCAAACAGAAUGAACACGACAGCUUUGGUGUCUAAACCGAACGCAACAGCCCAAGUGUAGGAAUAUUUCGGCUUUAAACCAAAUGAAAGAGGUGAGCCCACAAAUACAGACGAGCCGAUAUGUCGUAUUUGUUCCAAAGUUGUGGUGACAAAGAAAGGGAAUACGACGAACAUGCAUGCGCACCUCAGGCACAAUCAUCCCCUCCAUUUUUCCCAACUGAGCAAAAAAAGUUCCGCCAGAG